AGUUGCCUGAGGUGCACGUGAGCUUUUCAUUAUGUCUAACCUACAGUUUUCUAAGGGAAUCUGGCUAGGCUUGCGGAUGCUGGAUCGCCUUCGAGCGAAUAGCAGAAACAAGACUCAAGAUGCCCACCUGCGAGUCGCAGGUUUUAGACAUAUAAAGCAAACGACAUUUUGGACAUCUG
rfam:Selenomonas sputigena ATCC 35185, complete genome.